UGGGGGAUAGCCCGGGGAAACUCGGAUUAAUACCGCGUGUGGUUCUGCAGGACAUCCUGUGGAACUAAAGGUGGCGCAAGCUGCCGCUUCCAGAUGGGCUCGCGGCCUAUCAGCUUGUUGGUGAGGUAACGGCUCACCAAGGCUCCGACGGGUAACUGGUCUGAGAGGAUGAUCAGUCACACUGGAACUGAGACACGGUCCAGACACCUACCGGGUGGCAGCAGUCGAGAAUCAUUCGCAAUGGGCGAAAGCCUGACGGUGCGACGCCGCGUGGAGGAUGACGGGCCCUCGGGUUGUAAACUCCUGUCAUCAGAGAGUAAGGCUCUUGCGAGUAACUGCGCAGGAGAUUGAUAGUAUCUGAAGAGGAAGGGACGGCUAACUUCGUG
rnacentral:rRNA from 1 species